rnacentral:rRNA from 2 species
CAUCCUCCAAGGCUAAAUACUCCUGACUGACCGAUAGUGAACCAGUACCGUGAGGGAAAGGCGAAAAGAACCCCGGCGAGGGGAGUGAAAAAGAACCUGAAACCGUGUACGUACAAGCAGUGGGAGCACAGGUUUACCUGUGUGACUGCGUACCUUUUGUAUAAUGGGUCAGCGACUUAUAUUCUGUAGCAAGGUUAACCGUAUAGGGGAGCCGCAGGGAAACCGAGUCUUAACCGGGCGUUAAGUUGCAGGGUAUAGACCCGAAACCCGGUGAUCUAGCCAUGGGCAGGUUGAAGGUUGGGUAACACUAACUGGAGGACCGAACCGACUAAUGUUGAAAAAUUAGCGGAUGACCUGUGGCU